AAUAUUGGACAAUGGAGGAAACUCUGAUCCAGUGACGCCGCGUGAAGGAAGAAGGUCUUCGGAUUGUAAACUUAUUUUGUCAGGGAAGAAAAAAAUGACAGUACCUGAAGAAGAAGGACCGGCAAACUACGUGCCAGCAGCCGCGGUAAUACGUAGGGUCCAAGCGUUAUCCGGAUUUACUGGGUGUAAAGGGCGAGUAGACGGUAAUUCAAGUCAGAUGUGAAAACUCAGGGCUCAACUUUGAGACUGCAUCUGAAACUGAGUGACUAGAGUGCAGAAGAGGUAAGUGGAAUUCCUAGUGUAGCGGUGAAAUGCGUAGAUAUUAGGAGGAACACCAGUGGCGAAGGCGACUUACUGGGCUGUAACUGACGUUGAGGCGCGAAAGUGUGGGGAGCAAACAGG
rnacentral:rRNA from 1 species